rnacentral:rRNA from 1 species
CUGCAUGGCUGUCGUCAGCUCGUGUUGUGAAAUGUGGGUUAAGUCCCGCAACGAGCGCAACCCUUAUCCUUUGUUGCCAGCGAGUAAUGUCGGGAACUCAAAGGAGACUGCCGGUGAUAACCGGAGGAAGGUGGGAUGACGUCAAGUCAUCAUGGCCCUUACGAGUAGGGCUACACACGUGCUACAAUGGCAUAUACAAAGAGAAGCGAACUCGCGAGAGCAAGCGGGCCUCAUAAAGUAUGUCGUAGUCCGGAUUGGAGUCUGCAACUCGACUCCAUGAAGUCGGAAUCGCUAGUAACCGUAGAUCAGAAUGCUACGGUGAAUACGUUCCCGGGCCUU